UCGGGACAUCCGUGCACAGUUUGCAUCUGCCGAUCAGUCAUGUAAAUGCACAACCAGCUCUCGUAGAUGCCUCAGACGAAGAAAAUGAUCUUCUGCGCGUCCAUACCGCUCUUCUUUCUUGCAGACUUAACAGGUGACACUCCCUCCUCCAC